rnacentral:rRNA from 1 species
AUCCAACCUGCCGUCUACUCUUGGACAGCCUUCUGAAAGGAAGAUUAAUACAAGAUGGCAUCAUGAGUCCGCAUGUUCACAUGAUUAAAGGUAUUCCGGUAGACGAUGGGGAUGCGUUCCAUUAGAUAGUAGGCGGGGUAACGGCCCACCUAGUCUUCGAUGGAUAGGGGUUCUGAGAGGAAGGUCCCCCACAUUGGAACUGAGACACGGUCCAA